UGCCAGCAGCCGCGGUAAUACGUAGGGUGCAAGCGUUAAUCGGAAUUACUGGGCGUAAAGCGUGUGUAGGCGGUUCGGAAAGAAAGAUGUGAAAUCCCAGGGCUCAACCUUGGAACUGCAUUUUUAACUGCCGAGCUAGAGUAUGUCAGAGGGGGGUAGAAUUCCACGUGUAGCAGUGAAAUGCGUAGAUAUGUGGAGGAAUACCGAUGGCGAAGGCAGCCCCCUGGGAUAAUACUGACGCCAGACACGAAGGCUGGGGGAUCAAACAUGAUGAGGUA
rnacentral:rRNA from 1 species